rnacentral:tRNA from 1 species
AUCUCAUUGGCUCAGUUGGUUAGAGUGUUCGCUUCACAUGAUUAUGAGUUUAACUCGUGGCUGCUGAACGCGAAAGGUCCCCGGUUCGAUCCCGGGAUGGGAUA